GAUGAACGCUGGCGGCGUGCCUAAUACAUGCAAGUCGAGCGAACAGACGAGGAGCUUGCUCCUCUGACGUUAGCGGCGGACGGGUGAGUAACACGUGGAUAACCUCCCUAUAAGACUGGGAUAACUUCGGGAAACCGGAGCUAAUACCGGAUAAUAUAUUGAACCGCAUGGUUCAAUAGUGAAAGACGGUUUUGCUGUCACUUCUAGAUGGAUCCGCGCCGCAUUAGCUAGUUGGUAGGGUAACGGCUUACCAAGGCAACGAUGCGUAGCCGACCUGAGAGGGUGAUCGGCCACAGUGGAACUGAGACACGGUCCAGACUCCUACGGGAGGCAGCAGUAGGGAAUCGUCCGCAAUGGGCGAAAGCAUGACGGAGCAACGCCGCGUGAGUGAUGAAGGUCUUCGGAUCGUAAAACGCUGUUAUUAGGGAAGAACAAAUGUGUAAGUAACUAUGCACGUCUUGACGGUACCUAAUCAGAAAGCCACGGCUAACUACGU
rnacentral:rRNA from 1 species